rnacentral:rRNA from 1 species
GACGAACGCUGGCGGCGUGCUUAACACAUGCAAGUCGAACGCUGAAGCUUGGUGCUUGCACUGGGUGGGUGAGUGGCGAACGGGUGAGUAAUACGUGAGUAACCUGCCCUUGACUCUGGGAUAAGCCUGGGAAACUGGGUCUAAUACUGGAUAUGACAUGCCACUGCAUGGUGGUGUGGGGAAAGGGUUUUAUUGGUUUUGGAUGGGCUCACGGCCUAUCAGCUUGGUGGUGGGGUAAUGGACUACCAAGGCGACGGCGGGUAGCCGGCCUGAGAGGGUGACCGGCCACACUGGGACUGAGACACGGCGCAGACUCCUACGGGAGGCAGCAGUGGGGAAUAUUGCACAAUGGGCGGACGCCUGAGGCAGCGACGCCGCGUGAGGGAUGACGGCCUUCGGGUUGUAAACCUCUUUCAGCACGGAAGAAGCGAGAGUGACGGUACGUGCAGAAGAAGCGCCGGCUAACUACGUG